GAUGAACGCUGGCGGCGUGCCUAAUACAUGCAAGUCGAGCGAACGGACGAGAAGCUUGCUUCUCUGAUGUUAGCGGCGGACGGGUGAGUAACACGUGGAUAACCUACCUAUAAGACUGGGAUAACUUCGGGAAACCGGAGCUAAUACCGGAUAAUAUUUUGAACCGCAUGGUUCAAAAGUGAAAGACGGUCUUGCUGUCACUUAUAGAUGGAUCCGCGCUGCAUUAGCUAGUUGGUAAGGUAACGGCUUACCAAGGCAACGAUGCGUAGCCGACCUGAGAGGGUGAGCGGCCGCACUGGAGAGGAGACACGGUCCAGAGUCCGACGGGAGGCAGAAGUAGGGAAGCGUGCGCAAUGGGCGAAAGCCUGACGGAGCAACGCCGCGUGAGUGAUGAAGGUCUUCGGAUCGUAAAACUCUGUUAUUAGGGAAGAACAAAUGUGUAAGUAACUAUGCACGUCUUGACGGUACCUAAUCAGAAAGCUACGGCUAACUACGUG
rnacentral:rRNA from 1 species